rnacentral:rRNA from 1 species
CUGUGCUAAGGUAGCAUAAUCAUUAGUCUUUUAAUUGGAGACUGGUAUGAAUGGCUUAACGAAAAAUCAGCUUUUUUUAUAAUAAAAAUUGAAUUUAUUUUUUUAGUGAAAAAACUAAGAUUUUCCUGAAAGACGAGAAGACCCUAUAGAGUUUUAUAUAAAUAAAGUUCAUUUUGUAAUAGCUUUUCUUCGAAUUGAUCUAAUUUUAUAUUUUGUUGGGGCGACAUUAAGAUAAAAAAAACUCUUUUUUUUAUAAAUUUUUAUAAAAAUAUAAAUUGAUCCUUUAAAAAAGAUAAUAAGAAAAAAUUACCUUAGGGAUAACAGCGUAAUCUUUUUUGAGAGUUCUAAUCGACAAAAAGGUUUGCGACCUCGAUGUUGGACUAAAAUUUAGGUGUGGUGCAGCAGCUUCACUUUAGGGUCUGUUCGACCCAUAAUAUUUUACAUGAUCUGAGUUCAGACCGGCGUGAGCCAGGUUGGU